rnacentral:piRNA from 1 species
UGGAAACUCUGGGUUCCUAUAAAUUUCCUAC